AACGAACGCUGGCGGCAGGCUUAACACAUGCAAGUCGAACGCCCCGCAAGGGGAGUGGCAGACGGGUGAGUAACACGUGGGAACGUGCCCAAAGGUACGGAACAACUCCGGGAAACUGGAGCUAAUACCGUAUGUGCCCGAAAGGGGAAAGAUUUAUCCCCUUUGGAUCGGCCCGCGUCUGAUUAGCUAGUUGGUGGGGUAAUGGCCCACCAAGGCGACGAUCAGUAGCUGGCCUGAGAGGAUGAUCAGCCACACUGGGACUGAGACACGGCCCAGACUCGUACGGGAGGCAGCAGUGGGGAAUAUUGGACAAUGGGCGCAAGCCUGAUCCAGCCAUGCCGCGUGAGUGAUGAGGGCCUUAGGGUUGUAAAGCUCUUUUGUCCGGGAGGAUAAUGACCGUACCGGAAGAAUAAGCUCCGGCUAACUUCGUGCCAGCCGCCGCGGUAAAAC
rnacentral:rRNA from 1 species